AGGGGGCAGAGAUGGGUCCUGAAACCUACAUCUCUCCUCUCCCUCCCCCACAGGGCAGGCCUCCUGCAUAGGCAUGAGGAGCCACUGCUGAGUUCCAGGCCCACCUCGUACUCUGCCUCCAAUGCUGGACCAGGUUGUGGCGGCUCCAGCUUAGGACGUGGCUUUGAGGAGAACCAGUUAAAGACUGCAGCUUGCUCUACUGAACUGGACAUCAGACCUAGCUGCUAGAUCAAUAGAGACAGCAAUACUAAGUAAAGAGGAAGAAAAAUGGAUGGCAGGACUUGUGCAGCACUGAAAGCAGCCUGAUACAAUACCUGAGUGCAUUUGUGCAACCACAGUAUUUUCAAACAACUGCAGUGCUGAAUCCCUAAAGUACCUGACAGAUGUCUAUGUAUGAACCAACUGUACAAGCAGCAAGUAUUCUCUAAUGUGAAACCACUUUAACUUAACAUGAGACCAAAAUACCCAGUUCAGUGAAUUUGAUAUUCACUUAGCUAACAAGCUUGAACUGCCUUAUUGAAAUCCAUAUCAAAUGCUUACUAAAAAUGAAGCUACCACCAUCAUAGUGA